AAAAGAUAGGGUGGGGAAAAAAUGGAUGAACUAACUGAACAUGAAAUGAAAAAGGUUAGUUAUAAAAAAUGUGAUUCUGUGUGAUCGCUUUGGUAGCUUAGGCCAACGCAACAUGAUAAAGUGUGGACAAGUAUCCUGAGACACAGCGUGCAUAUACCUCUCAAGACUCAAGAGACUUCUUUUGCUUCUUUGUUUGAAAUCAAUUCUUCUUUUAUGUGAAAUGUUUUCAUAAUUCUUUUUGUAUAUAUGUAUCUGUGAUGUGGUGUGGGGUGGUGUAUUAAAGGAUUUGAAUCAUCGACUCAAAGUACUGGAUUUGUGCUUCAAUUUUCAAUACGUGUGUCAAAUAUGAAUACACAAAUGCAACUUUUGUUGGUUGAAAACUUGAAAGCAAGGGAGUUUGAGCGCAAAUGGAAAGCGAACAUGGGAUUCAGCCAUUCUUUGUGCAAGUGGUGGACGAGAUCAUAGAGUUUUAAGCUGAGUACCAUGGAUCUGAUCUAUGUUCAUGGCAGAAAAGCUUAGCUCCUGCAAAUUUUACAUGUCAAACGUAAGUUGUGUUACAAAAUUCACGUUAUGGAAAUUAAGAAUCUGAGCCUGUAGUAGUCUAACGAAGAAAACAUGGAGUAUAAUUAACAGGGUAAACUACGUUCACACACAUGUUCUGAAGUUUAAUGAAAUUACCUUCAAUACUCAUUCUCUUUAGACAGACAUUACUUUGACACCCUUACCAUUUAUAUAACCGUACGUAUAAGAAACUAAAGGUUUUGUUAACGGGAAAGAUACUUGAUCUUAUAUAUUCCGUUAUAAGAAUUGAGGAAAGGUUGUGGAAGGUCAAAAGAUAUGGCAGGCAUUGAAUAAAUUAUCGUUAAAUCUAAUGAAAUGUAAGUAUAGUUUGUCGUAAUUAAUAAUUGAUAGAUAGAUAUUUGUGUUCUUCAAAUAGGCAAUACCCGAUGUAAG
rnacentral:lncRNA from 1 species